rnacentral:rRNA from 1 species
CGCGAUUGGAUGAACCUAGGUGGGAUUAGCUAGUAGGUGAGGUAAUGGCUCACCUAGGCGACGAUCCCUAGCUGUUCUGAGAGGAUGAUCAGCCACACUGGGACUGAGACACGGCCCAGACCCCUACGGGAGGCAGCAGUGGGGAAUAUUGCACAAUGGGCGCAAGCCUGAUGCAGCCAUGCCGCGUGUGUGAAGAAGGCCUUCGGGUUGUAAAGCACUUUCAGCGAGGAGGAAAGGUUAAGUGUUAAUAGCACUUAGCUGUGACGUUACUCGCAGAAGAAGCACCGGCUAACUUCGUGCCAGCAGCCGCGGUAAUAUGAGGGGUGCAAGCGUUAAUCGGAAUUACUGGGCGUAAAGCGUACGCAGGCGGUUUGUUAAGCGAGAUGUGAAAGCCCCGGGCUCAACCUGGGAACUGCAUUUCGAACUGGCAAACUAGAGUCUUGUAGAGGGGGGUAGAAUUUCAGGUGUAGCGGUGAAAUGCGUAGAGAUCUGAAGGAAUACCGGUGGCGAAGGCGGCCCCCUGGACAAAGACUGACGCUCAGGUACGAAAGCGUGGGGAGCAAACAGGAUUAGAUACCCUGGUAGUCCACGCCGUAAACGAUGUCUACUCGGAAUUUGGUGCCUU